UAGGGAAUCUUCCACAAUGGACGCAAGUCUGAUGGAGCAACGCCGCGUGAGUGAAGAAGGUCUUCGGAUCGUAAAGCUCUGUUGUUGGUGAAGAAGGAUAGAGGAGUAACUGGUCUUUAUUUGACGGUAAUCAACCAGAAAGUCACGGCUAACUACGUGCCAGCAGCCGCGGUAAUACGUAGGUGGCAAGCGUUGUCCGGAUUUAUUGGGCGUAAAGCGAGCGCAGGCGGAAUGAUAAGUCUGAUGUGAAAGCCCACGGCUCAACCGUGGAACUGCAUCGGAAACUGUCAUUCUUGAGUGCAGAAGAGGAGAGUGGAACUCCAUGUGUAGCGGUGGAAUGCGUAGAUAUAUGGAAGAACACCAGUGGCGAAGGCGGCUCUCUGGUCUGCAACUGACGCUGAGGCUCGAAAGCAUGGGUAGCGAACAGGAUUAGAUACCCUGGUAGUCCAUGCCGUAAACGAUGACGCGCUAGGUGUUGGGGACUUUCCGGUGCCUC
rnacentral:rRNA from 1 species